rnacentral:rRNA from 1 species
AUUCCAGCUCCAGUAGCGUAUAUUAAAGCUGUUGCAGUUAAAAAGCUCGUAGUUGGAUCUUGGGCCCAGGCCUGCGGUCCGCCGUGAGGCGUGUACUGCAGUCCUGGCCUUCCUCUCGGUUUUCGCCCGGUGCCCUUAAUUGAGUGCCAGGAGAGGCCGGAACGUUUACUUUGAAAAAAUUGGAGUGUUCAAAGCAGGCCCCGCGCCUGAACAGCAGAGCAUGGAAUAAUGGAAUAGGACCUCGGUUCUAUUGCGUUGGUUUUCGGAACUCGAGGUAAUGAUUAAGAGGGACUGACGGGGGCAUUCGUAUUGCGGUGUGAGAGGUGAAAUUCUUGGAUCGCCGCAAGACGACCGACUGCGAAAGCAUUUGCCAAGAAUGUUUUCAUUA